AGCGAACGCUGGCGGCAGGCCUAAAACAUGCAAGUCGAACGCCCUAGCAAUAGGGAGUGGCAGACGGGUGAGUAACACGUGGGAACGUGCCUUUUGGUUCGGAACAACACAGGGAAACUUGUGCUAAUACCGGAUAAGCCCUUACGGGGAAAGAUUUAUCGCCAAAAGAUCGGCCCGCGUCUGAUUAGCUAGUUGGUGGGGUAGCGGCCCACCAAGGCUACGAUCAGUAGCUGGUCUGAGAGGAUGAUCAGCCACACUGGGACUGAGACACGGCCCAGACUCCUACGGGAGGCAGCAGUUAGGAAUCUUGGACAAUGGGCGCAAGCCUGAUCCAGCCAUGCCGCGUGAGUGAUGAAGGCCUUAGGGUUGUAAAGCUCUUUCAGCGGGGAAGAUAAUGACGGUACCCGCAGAAGAAGCCCCGGCUAACUUCGUGCCAGCCGCCACAGUAA
rnacentral:rRNA from 1 species